rnacentral:lncRNA from 1 species
GGCUGGCAGGCAGCCACUGGUACAGCACAGCCUCUUUAGUUCCCACGUCACCCCUGAGAGCCCUCCCCUGAACUCACCAGUGACUCUCAGCAAAAUAUCACCAAUUUUACUUUGGGAUUAAUGAAAUCAGCCUGGGUAAAGAAAUCAAACCACUUUAGUGAGAAGAGAGAGAACCGCUCAGGUGGCCAGUUCGUGUGUGACGCUGUUGUGGUCAUCUCAAGGAGAGAUGAUCUCAGCCUCUUGUGGAUCCUAAUAGUAUUUUUGCCCUCCUCCCUUUUUUUCCUUUAAAGACAUUCGCUAUAAAGUACUGGGUACUUUAGGUUUAGGUUUGACUGUUCUUCUUUUACCAGACGUCACCCUCUCUGGAGCAGGAUGUGUCUCUCUUCAUCUCCAUCCCUGUGCACCAGCCUGAAACCCGGACAUCAUCUAGGACACGUCAGUCUUCCUCACUCCCCGCUUCCAAUCAAUCAUGCCCUUAUCAAGCUUCCUGAGUCUGCUCCCUUUGCUCCACCCCUGCACUGCUUUAUUUCAGGGGCCGUCAUCUCUUGCCAGCACACUUCCCCUCUCCACACUGACAGGCACCCCCAUCUCGGGUAGAGAUGGGUCAUCAAGCUCAUCUGGGCCGUAUACUGAACUCCUGCUAACUCUGCAUCCAUGUUCAUCCAUCUUCUGUCCAUCCCAACACCUCCAUGUGGCAUCGUGCUGUGCCAGCGUGAACAAUGAAGGUGCAGGCAUCAGGCAGAGGGGCCAGAACAUCAGCUGGACCCUGAGGCUGGGCUGGAGGAUGGCCUUGGACCCGCAUCUCUCCUGAGCUAGGCAGGCUCAUUCACCCACACCCCGGUCCCUCGGGCACAGUCCGCCAUGUGGCCCCAACCGCAGAGGCAGAGCCUGCCCCAGCAGGAGUCUUCCCCUCAAGCACAGACCCCUGGAGUCUGGAGUGGAAGCCCCGUGCUUGUGGGAGCUUGAGCCGUGGAGAGCAUCUCCUCCCACGUACUGCCCUCUGAGGCCGAGCUCCGGCCCCUCCUGCCCGGCCUGCUGAUGUCCACUGACUGGACCACCGGUCUCCGGGUGCCUCUCCUACCUCUCUGCCGCCCGUUCCCCAGACAGCAGCCAGAGCAGCCUCCUAAAAACAUGAAUCGGACCACAUUGCUCCCCAGCUUCAAGCCUGUUCCCACCUGGGGGUCUUUGCUGGUCCCCUGGCCAGGAAGGGCCUGCUCCCAGAUUGUAAACAGCUGAUCCUUCCUGAGUGCUAUUUGGAACAAUACAUCCAGAGUCAGCCCCAAAUCACUUCCCCAGAAAGGCUGACCUGCUCCACCCAGACCAAGGUCAACC